rnacentral:rRNA from 1 species
GAUUAACGCUGGCGGCGUGCAUAACACAUGCAAGUCGAACGAUGAAACUCAUUAGAUUUCUUCGGAAUGAAAAUGAAUGGAUUAGUGGCGAACGGGUGAGUAACGCGUGAGUAACCUGCCUUACACAAGGGGAUAGCCUCUGGAAACGGAGAAUAAUACCCUAUGAAACCAGACAAUCGCAUGAUAAUCUGGUCAAAAUGUUUAGUGGUGUAAGAUGGACUUGCGUCUGAUUAGCUAGUUGGUGAGAUAAAAGCUCACCAAGGCAACGAUCAGUAGCCGGCUUGAGAGAGUGGACGGCCACAUUGGGACUGAGACACGGCCCAGACUCCUACGGGAGGCAGCAGUGGGGAAUUUUGCACAAUGGGGGAAACCCUGAUGCAGCGACGCCGCGUGAUUUAGAAGGCCUUCGGGUUGUAAAAAUCUUUUGUAUAGGAAGAAAAUGACAGUACUAUACGAAUAAGGUCCGGCUAAUUACGUG